CCUACGGGAGGCAGCAGUGAGGAAUAUUGGUCAAUGGACGAGAGUCUGAACCAGCCAAGUAGCGUGAAGGAUGACUGCCCUAUGGGUUGUAAACUUCUUUUAUAAAGGAAUAAAACGAGGCACGUGUGCCUUUUUGCAUGUACUUUAUGAAUAAGGAUCGGCUAACUCCGUGCCAGCAGCCGCGGUAAGACGGAGGAUCCGAGCGUUAUCCGGAUUUAUUGGGUUUAAAGGGAGCGUAGAUGGGUUGUUAAGUCAGUUGUGAAAGUUUGCGGCUCAACCGUAAAAUUGCAAUUGAUACUGGCAGUCGUGAGUACAGUUGAGGUAGGCGGAAUUCGUGGUGUAGCGGUGAAAUGCUUAGAUAUCACGAAGAACCCCGAUUGCGAAGGCAGCUUACUAAACUGUGACUGACAUUGAUGCUCGAAAGUGUGGGUAUCAAACAGGAUUAGAUACCCCUGUAGUC
rnacentral:rRNA from 1 species